AUUGAACGCUGGCGGAAUGCUUUACACAUGCAAGUCGAACGGCAGCACGGACUUCGGUCUGGUGGCGAGUGGCGAACGGGUGAGUAAUGUAUCGGAACGUGCCCAGUCGUGGGGGAUAACGUAGUGAAAAUUACGCUAAUACCGCAUACGAUCUAUGGAUGAAAGCGGGGGAUCGCAAGACCUCGCGCGAUUGGAGCGGCCGAUAUCAGAUUAGGUAGUUGGUGGGGUAAAGGCCCACCAAGCCGACGAUCUGUAGCUGGUCUGAGAGGACGGCCAGCCACACUGGAACUGGGACACGGUCCAGACUCCUACGGGAGGCAGCAGUGGGGAAUUUUGGACAAUGGGCGAAAGCCUGAUCCAGCCAUUCCGCGUGCAGGAUGAAGGCCCUCGGGUUGUAAACUGCUUUUGUACAGAACGAAAAGGUUUCUACUAAUACUAGGAGCUCAUGACGGUACUGUAAGAAUAAGCACCGGCUAACUACGUGCCAGCAGCCGCCGUAA
rnacentral:rRNA from 1 species